GACGUGGGGGGCAGGCGUUGUCCGGAAUUACUGGGCGUAAAGGGCGUGUAGGCGGUGCGAUACGUAGCGGUUUUAAGCCUCCGGCUCACCCGGAGGAGGGCGGCUAAACGGUCGCAUUGGAGGGCAGGAGAGGCGCGUGGAAUUCCUGGCGGAGCGGUGAAAUGCGUAGAGAUCAGGAAGAACACCAGUGGCGAAGGCGGCGCACUGGCCUGACCCUGACGCUGAGGCGCGACAGCGUGGGGAGCAAACGGG
rnacentral:rRNA from 1 species